CCUACGGGAGGCAGCAGUGAGGAAUAUUGGUCAAUGGACGGAAGUCUGAACCAGCCAUGCCGCGUGCAGGAUGACGGCUCUAUGAGUUGUAAACUGCUUUUGUACGAGAAUAAACGUUCUUACGCGUAGGUAUCUGAAAGUAUCGUACGAAUAAGGAUCGGCUAACUCCGUGCCAGCAGCCGCGGUAAUACGGAGGAUUCGAGCGUUAUCCGGAUUUAGUGGGUUUAAAGGGUGCGUAGGCGGUCGGAUAAGUUAGAGGUGAAAUGUCGGGGCUUAACCCCGUAACUGCCUCUGAUACUGUUCGGCUAGAGAGCAGAUGCAGCAGGCGGAAUGAGUAGUGUAGCGGUGAAAUGCUUAGAUAUUACUCAGAACACCGAUUGCGAAGGCAGCUUACUAAUCCGCAUCUGACGCUGAUGCACGAAAGCGUGGGGAGCGAACAGGAUUAGAUACCCCUGUAGUC
rnacentral:rRNA from 1 species